rnacentral:rRNA from 1 species
UACGAAGGGGGCUAGCGUUGCUCGGAAUCACUGGGCGUAAAGCGCACGUGGGCGGAUUGCUAAGUCAGGGGUGAAAUCCUGGAGCUCAACUCCAGAACUGCCCUUGAUACUGGCGGUCUCGAGUCCGGGAGAGGUGAGUGGAACUGCGAGUGUAGAGGUGAAAUUCGUAGAUAUUCGCAAGAACACCAGUGGCGAAGGCGGCUCACUGGCCCGGUACUGACGCUGAGGUGCGAAAGCGUGGGGAGCAAACAGG